UAGUCCACGCCGUAAACGAUGGAUACUAGCUGUUCGGAACUUGUUCUGAGUGGCUAAGCGAAAGUGAUAAGUAUCCCACCUGGGGAGUACGUUCGCAAGAAUGAAACUCAAAGGAAUUGACGGGGGCCCGCACAAGCGGUGGAGCAUGUGGUUUAAUUCGAUGAUACGCGAGGAACCUUACCAGGGCUUAAAUGUAGUCUGACAGGGCCAGAAAUGGCUUUUUCUUCGGACAGAUUACAAGGUGCUGCAUGGUUGUCGUCAGCUCGUGUCGUGAGAUGUUGGGUUAAGUCCCGCAACGAGCGCAACCCUUGUCUUUAGUUGCCAUCAUUUAGUUGGGCACUCUAGAGAAACUGCCGGUGACAAACCGGAGGAAGGUAAGGAUGACGUCAAGUCAGCAUGCCCCUUACGCUCUGGGCUACACACGUGCUACAAUGGUCGUGACAAAGAGUUGCUAGUCUGCGAAGGCAAGCCAAUCUCAUAAACGCGGCCUUAGUUCGGAUUGC
rnacentral:rRNA from 1 species